rnacentral:rRNA from 1 species
AAUUAGCCGAGCUUAGUGAUGGCUCUGACUGAACGCUGUUCAAGUGCUUGACACAUGCUAAUCGUACGAUUAAUUUAAUGAAAAUUUUAUUAAUAAGUGGUGUACAGGUGAGUAUAAGGUAUUUUUCGACUAUCCUUAAAGUGGGGUAAAAAAUGCCUCAUAAAAUGAAAGGCUAAUAAGCUGCUUUAAGAAGAACAAAGGUAUUUUCGAAAUAGGUAGUAGUUAAGGUUAUGACUUAACUAGCCCAUAAUUUUCGUAACCGGAACUGAAAAGUUGAUCGGUCACAUUGGGUCUGAGAAAAGCCCAAUGCAAUUUAGCGUACAGCAGUGGGGAAUCUUGGUCAAUGGCCUAACGGCUGAACUGGUAACUUGAAAAAAUGAGAAGUUCGAACAUAGAAAUAUAAGUAGAAUUUAAUUGUUAAUUCAAAUAAAAUUUAAACUACAUACUUAUAAUGACCGUAUGUAGAUAUAGUCUUGACCAAUUACGUGCCAGCAGUCGCGGUAAUACGUGGAAGGCUAGCGUUAUUCAUCAUAAUUAGGUUUAAAGGGUACUCAAACGGUCAAGAUAUCCUAUAAAAGGUAAUACUUGUCUAGAGUUUUAUGUAAGAAGACAGUACUUAGAGUGGAGAGAUGUAAUUCGUUGAUACCAAAGGGACUGAUAAUUGCGAAGGCAGUCUUUUAUGUAAUAACUGACGUUGAAGGACGAAGGCAUAGAUAACGAACAGGACUUGUUACCCCAGUAGUCUUUGCAGACAACACUGAAUGCUGUAGAUUAGAAAAUUUUAGUCUAUAUGUGAAAAUUAAAGCAUUUCACCUCAAGAGUAAUGUGGCAACGCAGGAACUGAAAUCACUAGGCCGUUUUUGACACCAGUAGUGAAGUAUGUUAUUUAAUUCGAUGAUCCACGAAAAACCUUACCACAAUUUGAAUAUUACAUAUGUUUGUAAAACAGGUGUUGCACGGCUGUCUUCAGUUAAUGUUGCGAAACCAUGGGCUUCCUCCCAUAAAUUAACAUAAUCCUCUGCUUUAUUUAUAAAUACUUUUAUAAAGCAAUCUUCCUGUAUAUGGGCUAAGAUAAAUAAGGAGAAAGGCAAGUCAUCAUGGCCCUUAUGUUGUGGGCUAUAGACGUGCCACGUAUUCCUUAACAAAGAGAUGCGAAAAUGUGAAUUUUAGCUAAUCUCAUAAAAAAGGAUAUAAAUUUUGUAUGGAUUGUAGUCUGUAACUCGACUAUAUGAAUAAGUAAUUACUAGUAAUCGUGAAUCACCAUUGUCACGGUGAAUUUAAUAUCGGAUUGGUACUAAUCACUCGUCGCAUGCUGAAAGGUGAGCGUACAGUAAGUUUGCUUUUCUGUUAUAAUCUCUUUUAAACUUUUAAAAUAUUACAUUCCGACGGAUUUCUUCGCGUGUAUGCCUCUAAUUAGUGUUAAGUCGAACUAUGGUUCGUGUAGCGGAAGUUGCACGGGGAUAUAAAAAUAA